GCUGUCGUCAGCUCGUGUUGUGAAAUGUUGGGUUAAGUCCCGCAACGAGCGCAACCCUUAUCCUUUGUUGCCAGCGGUCCGGCCGGGAACUCAAAGGAGACUGCCAGUGAUAAACUGGAGGAAGGUGGGGAUGACGUCAAGUCAUCAUGGCCCUUACGACCAGGGCUACACACGUGCUACAAUGGCGCAUACAAAGAGAAGCGACCUCGCGAGAGCAAGCGGACCUCAUAAAGUGCGUCGUAGUCC
rnacentral:rRNA from 1 species